GGUUAUGGCUCAGUGGCAGAGCGCUUGCCUCAUACAUGUGAGGCACUGGGUUCGAUUCUCAGCACCA
rnacentral:tRNA from 1 species